AGAGUUUGAUCCUGGCUCAGGAAUAACGCUGGCGGCAUGCAUCAUACAUGCAAGUCAAACGAUCGAGCCUCUAGCUUGCUAGAGGUGACGGAGUGGCGAACGGGUGAGUAACGCGUAGGUAACCUGCCCCGGGGUCUGGGAUAGCUGGCUGAAAGGUCAAUUAAUACCGGAUACGACAGCGGCGUCUAAUGGCGCUGCUGGGAAAGAUGCCUCAAAGCAUCUCCCUGGGAUGGACUUGCGUUCUAUUAGCUAGUUGGUGGGGUAACGGCCUACCAAGGCGGUGAUGGAUAGCCGGCUUGAGAGAGUGAACGGCCACACUGGAACUGAGACACGGUCCAGACUCCUACGGGAGGCAGCAGUAGGGAAUCUUCGGCAAUGGGGGCAACCCUGACCGAGCAAUGCCGCGUGAGGGAUGAAGGUCUUCGGAUUGUAAACCUCUGUCAUUGGGGAAGAACGCCAUGGGUAGGAAAUGAUUCAUGGUUGACGGUACCCAAGGAGGAAGUCACGGCUAAUUACGUGCCAGCAGCCGCGGUAAUACGUAAGUGGCAAGCGUUUUCCGGAAUCACUGGGCGUAAAGAGCAUGUAGGCGGCUGGGUAAGUUUGAGGUGAAAUCCAUCGGCUCAACCGAUGAACUGCCUUGAAAACUGCCCGGCUAGAGGACCAAAGGGGAAAGUGGAAUUUCGGGUGUAGCGGUGAAAUGCGUAGAUAUCCGAGAGAACACCGAUGGCGAAGGCAGCUUCCUGGUUGGUUCCUGACGCUGAGAUGCGAAAGCUAGGGUAGCGAACGGGAUUAGAUACCCCGGUAGUCCUAGCCCUAAACGAUGAGUACUAGGAAAUGGGCCUCAGGCUCGGUUCCGAAGCCAACGCAUUAAGUACUCCGCCUGGGGACUACGACCGCAAGGUUGAAACUCAAAGGAAUUGACGGGGGCCCGCACAAGCGGU
rnacentral:rRNA from 1 species